rnacentral:rRNA from 1 species
GUCUAUGGCCACACCACCCUGAACGCGCCCGAUCUCGUCUGAUCUCGGCAGCUAAGCAGGGUCGGGCCUGGUUAGUACUUGGAUGGGAGAAACCUGCUUAAGGACCAGAGACA